AAAAAAAAGAGAGCCAGUUUUGUAUUCUUUAAUAUUAUGUUUAAUCCCCCUUAAGAAAACGACCAAUUUUUCUGUGCCCACCAGAAGCAUAUAGUAUCUUCUUAAAACAUUUUAUCUCAAAAUGUCUAGACAAUGGCAGUGUUCUCCCCAGGCCGUUUUAGCGUCGCGGUACCGCGACGCUAUAUUUUUUCACCGUGAUGCUAUAAUAAUUCCCGCGACGCUAUAAUUAUUCCCGCGACGCUAUAAUUAUUUUGAAGAUGCUAUUUUACUUGUCCUCAAUUUUGAACUUUCAUCUAUUAUCGAUUAUGAUCAUAAAAAUUAUAUCACCUUUAAUUGUAAUCCCUUUAAGUCGGACACUAAAAGCAAUUAAGAGAUUAAAUAGCCAGGUGUUAAUUGCCCUCAGGGUGAUAACUGUUUGGAUGCGAAUAUCCCAAGCUGACACUCGUGACAUGACUAAUACCACGUGUCUGCAAUCCCUAAUUUCGACAUGGAAAAAUGCAAUCACAAAAACAAUUCGAAAUCUAUGUUUUGUAUUACGAAAUUUCAAAGAUUAAAACGAUUUUUUUUUUAAAAGGUCGUUUAUUUGUGCAACUCUCCCAAAAAUACUUUCUUUCUCUUCCGGUAAUACGAGAGCGAGAAUUUUGGUUUUGAGCUAAAAUAAGUUUUAUACUUCUUUAAAAAGUGAUCAUAAUUGGCUUAAGUUUAUGUUUAAUGCAUUAAAAGCGUCUUAUUCAUUUACAAUCUCUUGUCAAACAAUGUUUAUUCUCGGACUCAUUUUCGUAAAUUUUUCUACGGCCGCCAUUGCACAUUUUUGUGUAAACUACGGAUCGGAACCGGACCAGAUAUGACAAAAAUCCGCAUUUUCACGAUAAUGACAACAGACGGACAGUAGACAGAAAAAAUAUACCAAUAGAGAAAACUACGCAUUAAUAGACUAUUUGUUAGAUAACUUUGAUAAAAAUACAUAUUAUUUUGAUGUAAAGAUAAGAAACAACAGGG
rnacentral:lncRNA from 1 species